AGGCAGCAGUGGGGAAUUUUCCGCAAUGGGCGAAAGCCUGACGCAGCGACGCCGCGUGGGGGAGGAAGGCCUCAGGGUCGUAAACCCCUGUCAGGUGGGACGAACCACGGAUCGGUCAAUACCCGGUCCGCCUGACGGUACCACCAGAGGAAGCUCCGGCUAACUCCGUGCCAGCAGCCGCGGUAAUACGGAGGGAGCUAGCGUUGUUCGGAAUCACUGGGCGUAAAGGGCGCGUAGGCGGUCGGGUAAGUCGGGUGUGAAAUUCCGGGGCUCAACCCCGCGAACUGCAUCCGAUACUGCUCGACUAGAGAGAGGUAGGGGCGAGUAGAAUUCCCGGUGUAGCGGUGGAAUGCGUAGAUAUCGGGAAGAACACCGGUGGCGAAGGCGGCUCGCUGGGCCUUAUCUGACGCUGAAGCGCGAAAGCGUGGGGAGCAAACAGGAUUAGAUACCCUGGUAGUCCACGCCGUAAACGAUGGGUACUAGGUGUUGGGAGGAUUGACCCUCUCAGUGCCGACGCUAACGUAUUAAGUACCCCGCCCUGGGGGAGUACGGGCUGCAAGGCUUGAUACGUA
rnacentral:rRNA from 1 species